rnacentral:rRNA from 1 species
CCUACGGGCGGCAGCAGUGAGGAAUAUUGGUCAAUGGCCGGAAGGCUGAACCAGCCAAGCCGCGUGAAGGACGAAGGUGCCAAGCAUUGUAAACUUCUUUUGUCAAGGGACAAAAUCAGGCUCGAGAGCCUGACCGAGGGUACUUGAAGAAAAAGCAUCGGCUAACUCCGUGCCAGCAGCCGCGGUAAUACGGAGGAUGCGAGCGUUAUCCGGAUUUAUUGGGGUUAAAGGGUGCGUAGGCGGACGGUUAAGUCAGCGGUAAAAGCCCGGGGCUAAACCCCGGCGAGCCGUUGAAACUGGCGGUCUUGAGAUGUCGAGAGGUAUGCGGAAUGCGUGGUGUAGCGGUGAAAUGCUUAGAUAUUGCGCAGAACUCCGAUUGCGAAGGCAGCAUACCGGCGGCGGUCUGACGCUGAGGCACGAAAGCGUGGGUAUCGAACAGGAUUAGAUACCCCAGUAGUC